GGGGAGGGGAAACGGCAGCCUCAACCGCCUGGCAGCGGCGGUUUCUUCUCUUCGUGAAAAUCGUGAUCUCAUCUCUCCGUCCAUGGGCGAAAAAACAGCCAUCACCAGGCCAUUCACGCUUUGUGCUUUUGUUAGCAGAGCCCAGGCAGCCCUGCAGCCCACAUCUAGGGUACAAACGGAACGGCGGCGUUUUCCUUGUAUCAUUUAGAGGAAAUUUUUGAGCUGAACAGUAUUUUUUUUCUCCCUCUCUCUCUCUCUGAAAUAUUGCUGAGAUUUAAAGGAGGACGAAGACAACAGAUUCAUAGCUGGGUCUUGCUGUUUUCCUGACGCUGACCACAGCGGAUCUAGGUGGCUAUUUCGUUGGUGCACAGGCGUUCACAGAGGCAGAGAGGGGAGAAAGUUGUCAAACAGAUUCACAGACUGUCAAAGUGCGGCUUAAACCGAGUUCCUGGGCUCCCUCACUGGCUUCGUCCACUUAAACUUUUAACGUACACAUGUAGAGAGCUGAAACUCCAGGGGUAACAUGGGACAGGUCCUCUUGAUUUAAUGAAAACAGAAGAUCAACUGGACCGGGUAGCAAGAAAUAAGGCUUAAGAAGCACUGGUUUCUCUGCAGAAGACAGCAAGAUGCCCCAGGGAAUGUUUGUGAAAAAGGAUGACUGGAUGGGAAGCAAGCUGAAGAAAAAGAAGGAAAGAAAGAGAGAAAUCAGUAAAUCACCACACAAGAGGUGGAGAAGAGGACUUAUAAAUAUUGUUUCUAUGACAUUUGAAAAUAAAUGUUUUACUCCAUGCUAAUAGUGAAUGUGAUGUCUUCAGUUUGAAGGGCUUUAAGUGAAGCUCAUUAAAACCCACUAUUUUCCAAAAAAAAAAAAAAAAAAA
rnacentral:lncRNA from 1 species